AUUGAACGCUGGCGGCAGGCCUAACACAUGCAAGUCGAGCGGAUGAAGGGAGCUUGCUCCUGGAUUCAGCGGCGGACGGGUGAGUAAUGCCUAGGAAUCUGCCUGGUAGUGGGGGAUAACGUCCGGAAACGGGCGCUAAUACCGCAUACGUCCUGAGGGAGAAAGUGGGGGAUCUUCGGACCUCACGCUAUCAGAUGAGCCUAGGUCGGAUUAGCUAGUUGGUGGGGUAAAGGCCUACCAAGGCGACGAUCCGUAACCGGUCUGAGAGGAUGAUCAGUCACACUGGAACUGAGACACGGUCCAGACUCCUACGGGAGGCAGCAGUGGGGAAUAUUGGACAAUGGGCGAAAGCCUGAUCCAGCCAUGCCGCGUGUGUGAAGAAGGUCUUCGGAUUGUAAAGCACUUUAAGUUGGGAGGAAGGGCAGUAAGUUAGUACCUUGCUGUUUUGACGUUACCAACAGAAUAAGCACCGGCUAACUUCGUG
rnacentral:rRNA from 1 species